rnacentral:ncRNA from 1 species
GCAGAGUAAGUGCAGGUGCGCAGGAAAAGGCUGGUCCUUUUCCUCCAGUGCCGGAUGAACGGGGAGUUGUCAUCCGGACGAAAAGCAGAAGCUUGCGGUGCCUGUGCUGCAUCCCGCUGC